AUUGAACGCUGGCGGCAUGCCUAACACAUGCAAGUCGAACGGUAACAGGAAGCAGCUUGCUGCUUUGCUGCCGAGUGGCGGACGUGUGAGUAAUGUCUGGGAAACUGCCUGAUGGAGGGGGAUAACUACUGGAAACGGUAGCUAAUACCGCAUAACGUCGCAAGACCAAAGAGGGGGACCUUCUUGCCUCUUGCCAUCGGAUGUGCCCAGAUGGGAUUAGCUAGUAGGUGGGGUAACGGCUCACCUAGGCGACGAUCCCUAGCUGGUCUGAGAGGAUGACCAGCGACACUGGAAGUGAGCCACGGUCCAGACUCCGACGGGAGGCAGAAGUGGGGAAUAUUGCACAAUGGGCGGAAGCCUGAUGCAGCCAUGCAGCGUGUAUGAAGAAGGCCUGCGGGUUGUAAAGUACUUUCAGCGGGGAGGAAGGGAGUAAAGUUAAUACCUUUGCUCAUUGACGUUACCCGGAGAAGAAGCACCGGCUAACUCCGUG
rnacentral:rRNA from 1 species